AAUAAGUGUAAGUUUUGCACUAUUUAUAUCCAACGUUUGACCGUUCAUCUUAUUUAAAUUUUUUUAUGAUUAGUAUUUUUAUGGUUAUUAGAUGAUAAAACAUGAAUAAUACUUUAUGUGUGACUAACUUUUUUAUAUUUUUUAAAUAAGACGGACGGUCAAACAUUGGACAUAGAUACCCACGACUGCACUUAUU
rnacentral:pre_miRNA from 1 species